rnacentral:lncRNA from 1 species
AGGUCCUGUGCCUUAAAAGGCCUACAAAGUUAUACCCUCAGCCCUCGAUUCUUUUUUUUUUUUUUAAUUUUAUGUAUUUGAUGUGAACCUGAGUAUAUGUACCUAUGGAGGUCAGAACAGGCAUCCUGGAACAAGCAUGCAGACAGUUGAGAGCCUUCAUGUAGGUCUGGCAAUGAAAACCAGCUCUUUUGUAAGAACAGUAGCGUCAUUACCUGCUGAGUCAUUGAGUCAUAUAUCUCCCCCCCCCCCCCCCCGAGACAGGGUUUCUCUGUGUAGCCCUGGUUGUCCUGGAACUCACACUCUGUAGACCAGGCUCAACUUCAAACUCAGGAAUCCUCCUGCCUCUCCGCCUCUCUCAAGUUGCUGGGGUUAAAGGCGUGCGCCACCACUACCUGACUCCAACCACUUUCUUAGUUUUACUUUUGGGUGCUUUGUUUUAAAGAUUUAUAUUUUUUUAUGUAUAUGAGUACAAUGAAGCUGUCUUCAGACACACACAGAAGAGGGCAUCGGAUCCCACUACAGAUGGUUGUAAAGCACCAUGUGGUUGUUGGGAAUUGAACUCAGGACCUUUGGCAGAGCAUCGCUCCAGCCCUGUUUUGUUUUUGAGACAGGAUCUCUACAUAUCUCUGCAUGUCUUGGAACUCAUUAGACCAGGCUGGGCUUGAAUUCACAAAGAUCUUCCUGCCUCGCAGCCUCUCUCUCUGCCUCUCUCUUUGCCUCUCUCUCUGCCUCCUGCCUCUCUGCCUCCUGCCUCUGCCUCCUGAGUGCUGGGAAUAAAGGUGUACACCACCACAUCUGGAUUUUCAAAGUCUUCUUUAAAAAAACUAUUUCCUGCUGGGCGUGGUGGCGCACGCCUUUAAUCCCAGCACUCGGAAGGCAGAGGCAGGCGAAUUUCUGAGUUCAAGGCCAGCCUGGUCUACAGAGUGAGUUCUAGGACAGCCAGGGCUAUACAGAGAAACCCUGUCUGGAAAAAAACAAAACAAAACAAAAAGAUUUCCUUAUGUACCUUACUGACAGAAAGUUUAUAUUUAGAGCAGAGGUGACUGUAUAUAUACACACACACACACACAUAUUCUCCUUUCUCUGUCUCUCUCUCUCUCUCAUACACACACAUACUUGUGUAUGUAUGUAUCACAUGUUAUUUAGGUGGAACCCAGGUUGUCCAAUGCUUUAACAGUAUGCUUACAGCUCUGAGGUUAGUGAGAUGUUGGCAGUGAAUAUUCUCAAGUUAAUAAGGUGUUCUAAGUUGACUUUCACUUCUGAGUUCCCAGGAAGGCUUUGUUUAUAUUAUUUACCCAAAUGAAAAGUUGUAGCAGAUAAAAGGAGUGCUUCCUAAACAUGGAAUAUUAGAGUUGGGGGUAACCUAGCACUUUGCCUGCCACAUGACCAAUUAGAUGAUAUUUAGAGCAAUUAGAAAACCUGAGGUCUUUUCAAUGCUCAACUUGUGAGGCCAAAACGGGGUUGAUGUGUAGAAUAAUGAUGCACAGGAUGGUUUGAAAGACUUGCAGGGUUGGGUAUUUUUGGAAUACCUUUUGGGGAGGUAGAGACUGCGUGGGGAUGAGACAAAUUCUCAUUGUGUGGCCACAGUGGGCCUGGAACUUGCUCUAUAGAUCAAGCUGACCUUGAACUCACAGAGAGCACCCUAGAGCUGGGAGUAGUGGUGUGUGCUGCCACACCCAGCCUGGGCUCAUCAGACAUUAGGAAAUAAAAUAAGCUUAGGAAAACCCAUAAGCCAGCUAAUGACUAAUGUGAUUUAUGUGAAACACAAGCUUCUUCCAUGGUAGUUGUCCUUUAUCAUUCUGCGUCAUCAACCUUCUAACUGAAUAAUAGAAUCAGCGCUUGAUUAAAUUAGUGCUUACUGUGGUUCUCAGUGUGGAAUGAUAGUAAUGGGCAGUUGGCGACUGCUUGCCAGACAGAUGGAUUCAAAGGGAAUAUGUAGAGAUAUUCCCUAGAACUAUUUUUUUCACAUCAUAUAAGAAGAUCUGACUAAUUCAGUUUAAAAAAAGAUAGCCACACAUACUAGAAGAAAGCAGCAAAACUUAAAGAUAAUAUGAUUGUCUAUGUUGACAAUCCAAAAGGACCAAAGAUUUUAUGCAACAAGUGAUAUUAGUAAGUAAGGUCCUGGGUCAAUUGCUUUCCGACAUACUUUCAACUAGUAAAUGCGAUUUGAAAUUAAAUACAGUGCCAUUUACAUUAUCACAUUCAAAGGCUGGAGUCUGAUGAAUCCAGGGCCUUGUGCAUGUUACACAUGCAUUCUACCACUAAGCUACAUACCUGUCCCUAAAUGAAAAAGAUGUAAAUAAAAAUCUAGCAAAAUGAUAUGUAAGAGCUAUCUUUAAAAAAAAAAAAAAAACCUGUGAAAGAUAUCGAAGGUACCAAAUGGAGAGGAGCUACUCUGUCCAUGGAUAGAAAGACUGUAUUUUCAAGAUGACCAUUCUUCCUAGCUUAACUUAGAGAAUCAGUGCAGUACCAGUCAAAAUGCCAGCAAAAUUUAAUUUGCAGCUAUCAGUAAGUGGAUUCUGGACUUAAUAUAGAAUUUGAUGCCCAGCAACACAAACACAC